CCUAUAAAUACAAAUCUGUAAUAUUAUGUAAUUGUAAAGCCAAAUCAAAAUCACCGAAUUCUAAAAUCUAUUCCUAUACCCAAAGCGUGUGUUUCAGAAAAACAAUGAACAUAUUCUCAAAUCUCAAAUCCCAAUGAUAUUCAUCGACAAUAAUAGUUAUUACGAAACAACUAAUUUGGCUAUAAACGUUUCGAUUUCAUUAUACAUUUUACAGUCGUUGCGAACACAUUGUUCGAAACCGUCGUUGUCUUCACUUAAUGAAUUCAACUCUUAUAUAAUACCGUAUGAUUAUGUACAAUUUUACACAGAAAUCAUAAAUUAUCUCGUAAAAUAGUAACAUUGUUUUUACUAGAGUGACUUUAGGGGAACGUGUAGUGCAUUAUAUUAAACCCAUGUUGGCUCGAAGCCGAAUUUCUUAAAUCGACCUGCAGCACGUUCUAAAGACCAUUGUAUGAUAGUAGCUCGUCUAUGCCGACGAUUCAUAUAACUGCGCUUGCGCGUCAUUCUAUUUUGACCGGAACAUAAUCGAUUGUUUGUGAUCCAUUGUCAAGAUCAAAUGGUGUUCUGCCAUUAUUUUCUCUAGCAUUAUUCUCGUAUUUCUUUCUUUUCACAAUCCAUUAUAAAUAAUUUUUUUUUUUUUUUAUCUUGAUUUGAGGUUCAUAGAUUCGCAAGUUAUUAAUUUAUGUUCGUGUAAUGUGCGACGGCUAUUAUACAUAUUAUAUACCUACGUCAAACGUAGAAUUAAUUUGAAUGAUAAGCGCAAAAUUGAAUUCUUUCAAUACAUUAUUUUUUUCGUUUAUGCAAAUAAUUUUGAUUCGGUCGGGAUCAAGGAAAUGUAUUAACCAUGUCCUCGGGUGUGAGUCCGUACAUAUAUACACGAGUGAACAGCAUAAUAAUAUAGAUUACAUUUUUUUUCCUUCUUAAUUACUGCGUCGAUCUUGAACUUUAUAUUUAUGCGACCUAAAUAUCUUAUGACUAUUAAAAGGUUUUCAUAAACCAAAGUGAAAUAAAAAAUAAAACUAAUAUAACGAAAUUUAGUAUUUGCUUAAACACGAUAAUUAACGUUAUUAUUUCAGACUGUAGACUUAGUUGUUCUAUGAAUAUGCAAUGUGACUGAUUUGGUUCGUGAAAUUUUUUGUUUCUGUUGUUAUUAUAAUUAUUGUAGUUCACUACACUGCCGAUUGCCACUUUUUCGGUAAAUAAUAAUUACCAUAGAGAUAAAAAUAAAAUCAUUUUAUUUAAAAAAUUCAUCGUGACUUAAAAUUAUUUACAUAAUAUUUAUGACAAUAUUAUAUGCAUAGGUAUUGAAUACAUUUCAUAAUACACUUUACGUUUUGACUUAAAUAGUAUUAUAAUAAUCAUAGCACAUAGCUUCUAUUAAAAUAUUUAUUAGGCACAUUAAAUCAUCAACAAAUAUUUUAUAUAAUACAUGACAACUCAGAACAUGCCUAAAUAACUCAUGGUUAAGAAAUACGCAGUGUGUUGUUUUACAUCACAUAUUAUCAUGUACCUAUGAAUUCUAAUCCGGCAACUCAAGUCCACUCAAGUUACUCAUGGUAGUUGCGAAUUUUCAAACAUCUUGUCAAAAAUGGCAUUCUUUCUUGUUGCACAUGAGAUGUAUCAAGUUAUACCUACCUAUUAAUUUGUUUAUUAUUGUUUAUUUCUUGUGUAAAGUGUAGUAUAAUGGAGAAACAAUAAUUAGUAUUAAUUAGUUUUAACCAAAAUUGUAGAAAUUAUACGUUUACAUAGGUACAGCAUAUUAUAGAGAAUAAACAUCUGAACAUGUUUUUAACUGUCUGUUAUUUUUAAAAAUUAACUGAAAAAUGUAAGUCGCUAUUAUGUAUAAUCUAAUUAGUUGUAAUAUUUAAAAAGAAAUUAAAAACAAUUUUAAGUUAAAAAACCUAUCCUAACUUAUCUCUCUAAUGGGUUAUGAUGCUGAUAUAGUGCUCACCCAAGAACUGUGGUGGCGCGUUAAAACGUUUAGCUGCUCAUGCUUUCAUGAAAACACGUAAUGACAAUAUGUUCCAUAUAAUAU